AGAGUUGAUCCUGGCUCAGGAUGAACGCUAGCUACAGGCUUAACACAUGCAAGUCGAGGGGCAGCAUGAUCUUAGCUGCUAAGAUUGAUGGCGACCGGCGCACGGGUGAGUAACGCGUAUCCAACCUUCCCUGUACUAAGGGGAUAGCCCGGCGAAAGUCGGAUUAAUACCCUAUGUUUUCCGAAGCGAGCAUUUAAUUUGGAACAAAGGUUUACCGGUAUAGGAUGGGGAUGCGUCUGAUUAGAUAGUAGGCGGGGUAACGGCCCACCUAGUCGACGAUCAGUAGGGGUUCUGAGAGGAAGGUCCCCCACAUUGGAACUGAGACACGGUCCAAACUCCUACGGGAGGCAGCAGUGAGGAAUAUUGGUCAAUGGACGAGAGUCUGAACCAGCCAAGUAGCCGUGCAGGAUGACGGCCCUAUGGGUUGUAAACUGCUUUUAUAUAGGGAUAAAGUGAGGGACGUGUCCCUUAUUGUAGGUACUAUAUGAAUAAGGACCGGCUAAUUCCGUGCCAGCCGCCGC
rnacentral:rRNA from 1 species